rnacentral:lncRNA from 1 species
GACUACUCUCCUCUGCUAGGAUUGAUAGAUUCCAUCUAGGUGCGCACCAUACUCUUAUAGUGGACCAACUGUCGCCAACAUCUACUACAAAGACUCAUUGAGUUAAUAUUUAUAGGUAGUCAAACUCUAGCAGCCUCACUGUAAGCAGCUGUGGCACCGCAGAUCAAAAGACCAGUCACACUACCGCAGCAUCGAGAAAGUCACUAACGAAUGAGCAGACAUCCAUGUAACUUCUCGUGUUGGUCACGC